AGGACGAACGCUGGCGGCGUGCUUAACACAUGCAAGUCGAACGGAAAGGCCCUUCGGGGUACUCGAGUGGCGAACGGGUGAGUAACACGUGGGUGAUCUGCCCUGCACUUUGGGAUAAGCCUGGGAAACUGGGUCUAAUACCGAAUAUGACCUCAGGAUGCAUGUCUUGUGGUGGAAAGCUUUUGCGGUGUGGGAUGGGCCCGCGGCCUAUCAGCUUGUUGGUGGGGUGAUGGCCUACCAAGGCGACGACGGGUAGCCGGCCUGAGAGGGUGUCCGGCCACACUGGGACUGAGAUACGGCCCAGACUCCUACGGGAGGCAGCAGUGGGGAAUAUUGCACAAUGGGCGCAAGCCUGAUGCAGCGACGCCGCGUGGGGAUGACGGCCUUCGGGUUGUAACCCCUUUCUAGCACAGACGAAGCGCAAGUGACGGUAUGUGCAGAAGAAGCACCGGCCAACUACGCGCCAGCAGCCGCGGU
rnacentral:rRNA from 1 species